CUACGGGUCGCUCCAGUAGGGAAUCUUAGACAAUGGGGGAAACCCUGAUCUAGCCAUGCCGCGUGGGUGAUGAAGGCCUUAGGGUUGUAAAGCUCUUUCGCUGGGGAAGAUAAUGACGGUGCCCAGUAAAGAAACCCCGGCUAACUCCGUGCCAGCAGCCGCGGUAAUACGGAGGGGGUUAGCGUUGUUCGGAAUUACUGGGCGUAAAGCGCGCGUAGGCGGGCUAUUAAGUCAGGGGUGAAAUCCCGGGGCUCAACCCCGGAACUGCCUUUGAUACUGGUAGUCUUGAGUUCGAGAGAGGUGAGUGGAAUUCCGAGUGUAGAGGUGAAAUUCGUAGAUAUUCGGAGGAACAUCAGUGGCGAAGGCGACUCACUGGCUCGAUACUGACGCUGAGGUGCGAAAGUGUGGGGAGCAAACAGGAUUAGAUACCCGUGUAGUC
rnacentral:rRNA from 1 species